GAUGAACGCUAGCUACAGGCUUAACACAUGCAAGUCGAGGGGCAGCAUGUCGGUUGCUUGCAACCGACGAUGGCGACCGGCGCACGGGUGAGUAACGCGAAUCCAACCUGCCUCUUACCAGGGAAUAACCCGUCGAAAGGCGGACUAAUGCCCUAUGCCCUCCGCGGCAGACACCUAAUGCGGAGGAAAGCUUCCUCGGUAAGUGAUUGGGAUGCGUCUGAUGAGCUUGUUGGCGGGGUAACGGCCCACCAAGGCAACGAUCAGUAGGGGUUCUGAGAGGAAGGUCCCCCACAUUGGAACUGAGACACGGUCCAAACUCCUACGGGAGGCAGCAGUGAGGAAUAUUGGUCAAUGGGCGGAAGCCUGAACCAGCCAAGUAGCGUGCAGGACGACUGCCCUAUGGGUUGUAAACUGCUUUUAUGCGGGGAUAAAUGACACUACGUGUAGUGUUUUGCAGGUACCGCAUGAAUAAGGACCGGCUAAUUCCGUGCCAGCAGCCGCGGUAACAC
rnacentral:rRNA from 1 species